GCGAAAGCAUUCAUCAAUUACUUCUUCUUUAAUCAAGAACGAAAGUUAGAGUAGCAAAGGCCAUUAGAUGCAGCUGUAGUUUUAACCAUAAACGAUGACAUCUCAGGAUAUCAUUGAUGGGGCGCUCCUUCCGUUACCGGGCAACUGGUGACGGGAGCACUAACGCGCCCCUUGUACGCUUGAUGCUGCAGGAGUAAUCCUGUGCAUCGCCAAGUCCAAUGACGCACUGUGUGGGAAACCAACAAGCUGCCUUCGUGGAGUGUAUUUUGGCAACGAAGAAAUUUAAAAGAAUUGACGGAAGUAUCACCACCAGGAGUGGAUCGUGCGGCUUAAUUUGACUCAACGCGGGAAAUCUCACCAGAGCCGAACACCGUGAGGAAAGACAGACUGCAGCUCUUUCUUGAUUCUGUGAUUGUCAAAUGUAGUGCAUGGCCUUUGGGAAGUGGGUACUGUG
rnacentral:rRNA from 1 species